rnacentral:rRNA from 2 species
UACAGAGGUCUCAAGCGUUGUUCGGAUUCAUUGGGCGUAAAGGGCGCGUAGGCGGCGGGGUAAGUCGGGUGUGAAAUCUCAGAGCUCAACUCUGAAACUGCACUCGAUACUGCUCUGCUUGAGGACUGGAGAGGAGACUGGAAUUCACGGUGUAGCAGUGAAAUGCGUAGAUAUCGUGAGGAAGACCAGUGGCGAAGGCGGGUCUCUGGACAGUUCCUGACGCUGAGGCGCGAAGGCCAGGGGAGCAAACGGG